UGAGAGUCUCUGGCUCGCUAGGAGUCGUUUAAAGAAUCCGCGCGAGCGGUACCAGGUGUUAACCGUGCGGUGCGGGACCGAGACGGGUCCUUAGCUUCGGCCCUUUCCCAUCCUCUCUGGUCAGAGGGAAGAAUGAGAGGAACUCAGUCAAGCAAUGACACUUGAGGUCAAGAAGCUGGGUCUCCACCCUGUCCCCCAGGCAGUGUACAGAACUCAGCAUUGCUGGUGAAGGUCCCACUGGAGGACACCCAAGUUCAACAUGAUCUUGACAGACCUGUGACUGACCUGACCCUCCCUCCAGUCCUGUGCCACUGACACAUAUGCUUGAUGCCUUCUGCUUUGUCCUAGUACCCAAGACGGUGAGUGAAGCAGGGGUCAAAAGUUCAGUUCUCAGCUGCAUAGUGAGUUUGAGGCCAGCCUGGGUUAAAUGAUACACUGCUUUAACACAAUGAAAUAAAGGACAGGAGAGAUUGGUUUGG
ensembl:processed_transcript 1700122E12Rik RIKEN cDNA 1700122E12 gene